rnacentral:lncRNA from 1 species
UCCUCAAUUUAAAAUAGAAGUGGUGUGAGAAAAAGCCUCCCAAACACCAAGUAAGAUAUGCUUUUAUAAGCUGGAACUAAAUGGGGAGAGUGUGUACAUUUUUCUUCCUGUUGCAUAGUUAGAUUCUAUAGUGAGUAGUGACACCAUGUUUUUAUCCGAAUUGGCGAAUUAUGCCUUCUGACCUUCUGUAAACCAUUGUAUACGACAUGGCAAUCUUGUAUCUCCUUUCAAGUGACAGUUGAAUAUAAACAAUACUUAAACUGUGGAGAAAGUGAUACCCAAAUCAUACCAUGCAAAAGUUUCUAGUAUUGAUCUUGUAGUUUAUUUUUUUAGCAGGUUAUCAUGCCCUCGAAAGUCGUCCUUUGGUUUUCUUCGUAGCAAUUUGUUGCUCAUCUCUAUGGCUUUAAAUGUCUUUUUAUUUGCUUCAGUAAUAUGGAGUUGUUGAAUACUGUUUUGUAAUUCCUGGUAUAUUGUUUCAUCUUGGUCUUCUACAUCAUUUCUCUGUAAAUCACAGCAUGUUAUUAGAGCAAUUGAAGUAAAAUCAGGAGCAUCUAAAUGAAGUGGCUCCUCAGAUAAUGGGAAAUAGAUUUCACCUGGUCUUAAAAGUGAAGGACUGUGAUGAUUCACCCAAAAUGCAGUUUGACUGAUAUAUAUGUUGUGAAGUUAAUCAAAGAGGAAUUGCUGAUAAGAGUCUAGAGUUGACUGAGGAUUUGACUUUCGGAAAUAGAUGUGGAAGCAGAGAGUAUGAGAUGUAGAGAAAUCAUUUUGAGGUCUAUCUGAGUGUGGUAGGUAUGAAUUUGGGUAGUGGCACGAGAAUGUGCAGAUUACAAGCUAGCUAAUGCAUUGAUCUGCAGGCCGGUGUUGACCAUGUUGUUGACUUUAUGGUAUAGAGGGACACUAUUGGUAGCAGAUUAUGUGUCAUUUUGA